UGUUUUUAAAUGAUGACAUAAUACACCAUUUCACUGAGAAUCAUGAUUGAAUUCAUUUAACAUGCAUCACCAACUGAGGCACAU